AUUGAACGCUGGCGGCAUGCUUUACACAUGCAAGUCGAACAGUAACAGGGUGCUUGCACCGCUGACGAGUGGCGAACGGGUGAGUAAUGCGUCGGAACGUGCCGAGUAGUGGGGGAUAACGCAGCGAAAGUUGUGCUAAUACCGCAUACGUACUGAGGUAGAAAGUGGGGGACCUUCUGGCCUCACGCUAUUCGAGCGGCCGACGUCUGAUUAGCUAGUAGGUGCGGUAAAGGCCCACCAAGCCAACGAUCUGUAGCUGGUCUGAGAGGACGACCAGCCACACUGGGACUGAGACACGGCCCAGACUCCUACGGGAGGCAGCAGUGGGGAAUUUUGGACAAUGGACGCAAGUCUGAUCCAGCCAUGCCGCGUGCGGGAAGAAGGCCUUCGGGUCGUAAACCGCUUUUGUCAGGGAAGAAACGCUCUGGGUUAAUACCCCGGGGUAAUGACGGUACCUGAAGAAUAAGCACCGGCUAACUACAUGCCAGCAGCCGCGGUAACAC
rnacentral:rRNA from 1 species